CAAAGUAUCUUCUGCCCACUGACUUGAGUUAAAUGGCCGCAGUACUCUGACUGUGCUAAGGUAGCGUGAUUCUUGUUUUCUUAAUUAGAAAUCUGUUCAAAGAAUGAUACGUAGAAAAUCUUUUGUUUUCAUAUUUAAUGAACUUAAAUUGUUAGUGAAAAUUCUGACGUUUUCUUAAAAGACGAGAAGACCCCAUAAAACUUUAUUUUGCUGAGUUUACAGGAUUCUUUUAAAUUUAAAUGGGGACUUUAGAGUAAUUAAAUAACUUAAUGACCUAUUUUUAUAUUUUUAGAGAAGCUACUUUGGGGAUAACAGGGUAAAAUAUUUAGAGAGUUCUUAUCGAUAAGUAUGUUUACUACCUCGAUGUGGAUUAUCUUUUCA
rnacentral:rRNA from 1 species